AGGAUGAACGCUGGCGGCGUGCCUAAUACAUGCAAGUCGAGCGGUAAGGCCCUUUCGGGGGUACACGAGCGGCGGACGGCUGAGUAACACGUAGGAACGUACCCCAAACUGAGGGAUAAGCACCAGAAAUGGUGUCUAAUACCGCAUGUGCUCGAUAGGUUUAUCCCUAAAGAGUAAAGCUACGGCGGUUUGGGAACGGCCUGCGUCUGAUUAGCUUGUUGGUGAGGUAAUGGCUCACCAAGGCGACGAUCGGUAGCUGGUCUGAGAGGAUGAUCAGCCAGACUGGGACUGAGAACGGCCCAGACUCCUACGGAGGCAGCAGUAGGGAAUUUUCCACAAUGGGGGCAACCCUGAUGGAGCAACGCCGCGUGCAGGAUGAAUGUCUUCGGAUUGUAAACUGUCUUUUAUCUGUGACGAAUAUGACGGUAGCAGAUGAAUAAGCCUCGGCUAACUCCGCGCCAGCACGCCGCGU
rnacentral:rRNA from 1 species